AGGAAAAAAAGUUUCUUCCUUCUUUAUUUGAGUUUUGGGAAGUGCAAAUUCCAGAGAAUCUGCAGACGCUCUUCAAGGAAAAGCGAGAAAAGGACUUCAGAGGAGAGGAAAACUGGGAGAAGGCUAGCUUUGGAGUAAGGACUAAGGAGACAUUUAACUCAAAUGGAAAAUGACCUAAGGACUGGAUCAUGAGGGGCAAUUCUGUUACUACAAGUAAAUUGCAAAACUUGAGUGAAGAGAAAGCUACAAUUGAAUCAAUUAACAAUUAGACAUUUUUGGGGAUUGAAGAGAAUAUACUCCCAACAAGUCACAACCACAUCAUGUUUCUUUGGAAUUAGUCUUCUUCCAAUUUUAUAAAUUGUACUGUUUGAUUAAUUUAAUUAUAAGUAGCAUUAUUCUAUUCAAAGAAAAGUUGUAUGCAUUCAAAACCUAUUGAUUAUUAAAUGAAAGAAAAAAUUUUCAAAUAAUUAAUGAGAAAUUAAUUCUUUUUGAGUCGAAGGUUCAAAUUCUCUCCUACUCUAUUAUUGUACUCGAAUAAUAAAAAUUUUAAUUCAUAUAUGGUAUUUAUUUUCCUUAUUUUCGCCAUUUAAAAGCGAUUUUGUCC